AGAAACAUAUAUUGAUGGCAAACUAGACAAAGCUGACAGUUUUGUACAAAACAGCAAUAAGACCUUUAAAAAGUGGUACACUAAAAUGAUUGGCGAUGAUAAUGGACCCAGAAUAACAUCGUUACACAUUUUCCUGUGUGGUUUUAUUGGUGGAGUGGCAUUGGGGAUAGCUACUAGCUAAUUUCAACAAUAAUAUAUCUCUUUCAAAAAUAUUUUCUAUCCAAUCUUCGAUCAUAAAGGUCGAUAUUUCAAUAAGACAUGUAAACUACAGUAUCUAUUUAUUUAUUUGUUUACAUCAAUAAUAACAAAAAAACAAAAAAAAAGAUCUUUUUAAGCUACAUUAAACUUACAUAAUUAUAAGUUUGAAUCAAAAAACAAAAAAUAAAGCUUAACUAAACGUCCUUGACGAA